rnacentral:rRNA from 1 species
UCGCAAUGCCCGAAAGGGUGACGAAGCGACGCCGCGUGGGUGAGGAAGGCCCUCGGGUUGUAAAGCCCUGUCAGGAGUUAAGAAAUGUAAGUGCGCUAAUAUCGCAUUUAUUUGACGAAGGCUCCAAAGGAAGCCACGGCUAACUCUGUGCCAGCAGCCGCGGUAAUACAGAGGUGGCAAGCGUUGUUCGGAAUUAUUGGGCGUAAAGAGCACGUAGGUGGGUUUGUAAGUCAGAUGUGAAAGCCUUCUGUUCAACGGAAGAAUUGCAUCUGAAACUACAAGUCUUGAGUGUAGGAGGGGAGAAUGGAACUUCUGGUGGAGCGGUGAAAUGCGUAGAUAUCAGAAGGAACGCCGGCGGCGAAAGCGAUUCUCUGGCCUAUUACUGACACUCAGUGUGCGAAAGCUAGGGGAGCAAACGGGAUUAGAUACCCCGGUAGUCCUAGCCGUAAACGAUGGGCACUAAGUAGAGGGGU